rnacentral:rRNA from 1 species
AUUUAUUAAGGGAGUGGCGAAAGGGUGAGUAACCCGUAAGCGACCUAUCCUUGAGUGGGGGAUAACUCCGAGAAAUUGGAGGUAAUACUCCAUGUGGUGAUAAAGGUAGAGCUUUAUCAGUAGAGCCUUCGGGUGCUUGGGGAGGGGCUUGCGUCCGAUUAGCUAGUUGGUGGGGUAAUGGCUCACCAAGGCGAAGAUCGGUAGCUGGUCUGAGAGGAUGGUCAGCCACACUGAGACUGAGACACGGCCCAGACUCCUACGGGAGGCAGCAGCAAGGGAUAUUGCGCAAUGGGCGGAAGCCUGACGCAGCGACGCCGCGUGAGGGAAGAAGGUCUUUGGGUUGUAAACCUCUUUUCUCAGGGAAGAAAAAAAAUGACGGUACCUGAGGAAUAAGCCUCGGCUAACUACGUGCCAGCAGCCGCGGUAAUACGUAGGAGGCGAGCGUUAUCCGAAAUUACUGGGCGUAAAGGGGACGUAGGCGGUUUUUCAAGUCAGGUGUAAAAUCUCCCCGCUUAACGGGGAGGGGACAUUUGAUACUGUAAAACUAGAGGGCAGCAGAGGGAGGUGGAAUUCCCGGAGUAGUGGUGAAAUGCGUAGAUAUCGGGAGGAACACCAGAGGCGAAGGCGGCCUCCUGGGCUGCAUCUGACGCUGAGGUCCGAAAGCGUGGGGAGCGAACAGGA